rnacentral:rRNA from 1 species
UGAGUACGAGACGCUAAGGCGUCGAAGUAGUGGAUGUCAUACUUCCAAGAAAAGCUUGCACUGUCAUAAAUAGAAAACGCCUGUACCAUAACCGACACAGGUGGGUAGGUAGAGUAUACUAAGGGGCGCGAGAUAACUCUCUCUAAGGAACUCGGCAAAAUGACUCCGUAACUUCGGGAGAAGGAGUGCCUUAUUCGUAAGGCUGCAAUAACAAGAUCCAAGCAACUGUUUAUCAAAAACACAGGUCUCCGCUAAGUCGUAAGACGAUGUAUGGGGGCUGACGCCUGCCCAGUGCCAGAAGGUUAAAGAAGUCGGUUAGCAUUAGCGAAGCUGGUAACUGAAGCCCUGGUGAACGGCGGCCGUAACAAUAACGGUCCUAAGGUAGCGAAAUUCCUUGUCGGGUAAGUUCCGACCCGCACGAAAGGCGUAAUGAUUUGGAUACUGUCUCGGAGAGGGGCUCGGUGAAAUAGACUUGUCUGUGAAGAUGCGGACUACCUGCACCAGGACAGAAAGACCCUAUGAAGCUUUACUGUAACUUGAAAUUGAAAUUGGACUUUAUUCGCGCAGUAUAGGUGGGAGGUGUUGAUUAUAAUCUUGCGGGAUUAUUGGAGCCAUCAGUGAGAUACCACUCUUGUAAUGUUAGAUUUCUAACUUUGAAUCAUUAUCUGGUCAAAGAACAGUUUCAGGCGGGCAGUUUGACUGGGGCGGUCGCCUCCUAAAUGGUAACGGAGGCGUACAAAGGUUUCCUCUGAACGGGUAGAAAUCGUAUCUAGAGUGUAAAGGCAUAAGGAAGCUUGACUGUGAGACCUACAAGUCGAGCAGGGACGAAAGUCGGUCUUAGUGAUCUGACGGUACUGAGUGGAAAGGCCGUCACUCAACGGAUAAAAGUUACUCUAAGGAUAACAGGCUGAUCUCCCCCAAGAGUUCACAUCGACGGGGAGGUUUGGCACCUCGAUGUCGGCUCAUCGCAUCCUGGGGCGGUAGUACGUCCCAAGGGUUGGGCUGUUCGCCCAUGAAAGCGGUACGCGAGCUGGGUUCAGAACGUCGUGAGACAGUUCGGUCCAUAUCCGGUGUAGGCGUUAGAAUAUUGAGAGGAGCCUUCUUUAGUACGAGAGGACCGAGAAGGACAUACCUCUGGUGUACCAGUUAUCGUGCCAACGGUAAACGCUGGGUAGCUAUGUAUGGAGUGGAUAACCGCUGAAAGCAUCUAAGUGGGAAGCCCACCUCAAGAUAAGUAUUCUCAUC